rnacentral:rRNA from 1 species
GAGUUUGAUCCUGGCUCAGGACGAACGCUGGCGGCGUGCCUAAUACAUGCAAGUCGAGCGAAUUAAUAGGAGCUUGCUCCUGUUGAUUAGCGGCGGACGGGUGAGUAACACGUGGGCAACCUGCCUGUAAGACUGGGAUAACACCGGGAAACCGGUGCUAAUACCGGAUAAUCCUUUUCCUCUCAUGAGGAAAAGCUGAAAGUCGGUUUCGGCUGACACUUACAGAUGGGCCCGCGGCGCAUUAGCUAGUUGGUGAGGUAACGGCUCACCAAGGCGACGAUGCGUAGCCGACCUGAGAGGGUGAUCGGCCACACUGGGACUGAGACACGGCCCAGACUCCUACGGGAGGCAGCAGUAGGGAAUCUUCCACAAUGGACGAAAGUCUGAUGGAGCAACGCCGCGUGAGCGAUGAAGGCCUUCGGGUCGUAAAGCUCUGUUGUUAGGGAAGAACAAGUACCGGAGUAACUGCCGGUACCUUGACGGUACCUAACCAGAAAGCCACGGCUAACUACGUGCCAGCAGCCGCGGUAAUACGUAGGUGGCAAGCGUUGUCCGGAAUUAUUGGGCGUAAAGCGCGCGCAGGCGGUCCUUUAAGUCUGAUGUGAAAGCCCACGGCUCAACCGUGGAGGGUCAUUGGAAACUGGGGGACUUGAGUGCAGAAGAGGAAAGCGGAAUUCCACGUGUAGCGGUGAAAUGCGUAGAGAUGUGGAGGAACACCAGUGGCGAAGGCGGCUUUCUGGUCUGUAACUGACGCUGAGGCGCGAAAGCGUGGGGAGCAAA